rnacentral:misc_RNA from 1 species
GAAAUGCGAUAAUUAAUGUGAAUUGCUGAAUUCAGUGAAUCAUCGAGUCUUUGAACGCACAUUGCGCCCCCUGGUAUUCCGGGGGGCAUGCCUGUCCGAGCGUCAUUGCUGCCCUCAAGCACGGCUUGUGUGUUGGGCUUCCGUCCCUGGCAACGGGGACGGGCCCAAAAGGCAGUGGCGGCACCAUGUCUGGUCCUCGAGCGUAUGGGGCUUUGUCACCCGCUCCCGUAGGUCCAGCUGGCAGCUAGCCUCGCAACCAAUCUUUUUAACCAGGUUGACCUCGGAUCAGGUAGGGAUACCCGCUGAACUUAAGC